UACGUAGGGUGCAGGCGUUAAUCGGAAUUACUGGGCGUAAAGCGUGCGCAGGCGUCUCUUAAGACAGGUGUCGAAAUCCCCGGGCUUAACCUGGGAACUGACGUUUGAAACUGGAAGGCUAGAGGUGUGGCAGAGGGGGGUGGAAUUCCGCGUGUAGCAGUGAAAUGCGUAGAUAUGCGGAGGAACACCGAUGGCGAAGGCAAUCCCCGUGGGCCUGCACAUGACG
rnacentral:rRNA from 1 species